CCUACGGGUGGCAGCAGUAGGGAAUAUUGCUCAAUGGGGGAAACCCUGAAGCAGCAACGCCGCGUGGAGGAUGAAGGUUUUCGGAUUGUAAACUCCUUUUGUUAGAGAAGAUAAUGACGGUAUCUAACGAAUAAGCACCGGCUAACUCCGUGCCAGCAGCCGCGGUAAUACGGGGGGUGCAAGCGUUACUCGGAAUCACUGGGCGUAAAGGGCGCGUAGGCGGGAUAGCAAGGCAGAUGUGAAAUCCUAUGGCUUAACCAUAGAACUGCAUUUGAAACUGUUAUUCUAGAGUAUGGGAGAGGUAGGUGGAAUUCUUGGUGUAGGGGUAAAAUCCGUAGAGAUCAAGAAGAAUACUCAUUGCGAAGGCGACCUGCUAGAACAUAACUGACGCUGAUGCGCGAAAGCGUGGGGAGCAAACAGGAUUAGAUACCCUGGUAGUC
rnacentral:rRNA from 1 species